CCCCUAGUAACUGCGAGUGAAGCGGGAUGAGCUCAAAUUUGAAAUCUGGCGGUUCUGCCGUCCGAGUUGUAAUCUGGAGAAGCGUCUUCCGUGCCGGACCGUGUACAAGUCCCUUGGAACAGGGCGUCAUAGAGGGUGAGAAUCCCGUCUUUGACACGGACUCCCGGUGCUCUGCGAUGCGCUCUCGAAGAGUCGAGUUGUUUGGGAAUGCAGCUCAAAAUGGGUGGUAAAUUCCAUCUAAAGCUAAAUAUUGGCGAGAGACCGAUAGCGAACAAGUACCGUGAGGGAAAGAUGAAAAGCACUUUGGAAAGAGAGUAAAACAGUACGUGAAAUUGUUGAAAGGGAAACGCUUGAAGUCAGUCGCGUCUUCUGGGACUCAGCCUUGCUCUGCUCGGUGCACUUCCCAGUUUGACGGGUCAGCAUCGGCUCUGGUGGGCGGACAAAGGCGCGGGGAAGGUGGCAGCCUCGGCUGUGUUAUAGCCCCGCGUUACACGUCCACCGGGACCGAGGAAUCCGGCGCUCGCGCCUGGGAUGCUGGCGUAAUGGCUUUAAACGACCCGUCUUGAAACACGGACCAAGGAGUGCUACAUGCUCGCGAGUGUUUGGGUGGAAAACCCGAGCGCGAAAUGAAAGUGAAAGUCGAGACCCUUUGCGGGGGCACCGACGCCCGAGCCUGAUGUUUUCGGAAGGCCUUGCGGUAGAGCGAGUAUGUUGCGACCCGAAAGAUGGUGAACUAUUCCUGAGGAGGGCGAAGCCAGAGGAAACUCUGGUGGAGGCUCGUAGCGGUUCUGACGUGCAAAUCGAUCGCAGGACUUGGGUAUAGGGGCGAAAGACUAAUCGAACCAUCUAGUAGCUGGUUCCUGCCGAAGUUUCCCUCAGGAUAGCAGAAGCUCAGAUCAGAUUUAUGUGGUAAAGCGAAUGAUUAGAGGCCUUGGGGUUGAAACAACCUUAACCUAUUCUCAAACUUUAAAUAUGUAAGAACGAGCCGUCGCUUGGUUGGACCGCUCGACGAUUGAGAGCUUCUAGUGGGCCAUUUUUGGUAAGCAGAACUGGCGAUGCGGGAUGAACCGAUCGCGGGGUUAAGGUGCCGGAAUGCACGCUCAUCAGACACCACAAAAGGUGUUAGUUCAUCUAGACAGCAGGACGGUGGCCAUGGAAGUCGGAAUCCGCUAAGGAGUGUGUAACAACUCACCUGCCGAAUGAACUAGCCCUGAAAAUGGAUGGCGCUCAAGCGUGCUACCCAUACCCCGCCGUCAGCGUUGAAGUGACGCGCUGACGAGUAGGCAGGCGUGGAGGUCCGUGAAGAAGCC
rnacentral:rRNA from 1 species